GCACGAGUUUAGAUUCGUGGCAUAUAGCUCAGUAACACGUGGCCAAACUACCCUACAGACCGCGAUAACCUCGGGAAACUGAGGCCAAUAGCGGAUAUCACUCUCACGCUGGAGUGCCGAGAGUGAGAAACGUUCCGGCGCUGUAGGAUGUGGCUGCGGCCGAUUAGGUAGAUGGUGGGGUAACGGCCCACCAUGCCGAUAAUCGGUACAGGUUGUGAGAGCAAGAGCCUGGAGACGGUAUCUGAGACAAGAUACCGGGCCCUACGGGGCGCAGCAGGCGCGAAACCUUUACACUGCACGACAGUGCGAUAGGGGGACUCCGAGUGCGAGGGCAUAUAGCCCUCGCUUUUCUGUACCGUAAGGUGGUACAGGAACAAGGACUGGGCAAGACCGGUGCCAGCCGCCGCGGUAAUACCGGCAGUCCAAGUGAUGGCCGAUAUUAUUGGGCCUAAAGCGUCCGUAGCCUGCUGUGUAAGUCCAUUGGGAAAUCGACCAGCUCAACUGGUCGGCGUCCGGUGGAAACUACACAGCUUGGGGCCGAGAGACUCAACGGGUACGUCCGGGGUAGGAGUGAAAUCCUGUAAUCCUGGACGGACCACCAAUGGGGAAACCACGUUGAGAGACCGGACCCGACGGUGAGGGACGAAAGCCAGGGUCUCGAACCGGAUUAGAUACCCGGGUAGUCCUGGCUGUAAACAAUGCUCGCUAGGUAUGUCACGCGCCAUGAGCACGUGAUGUGCCGUAGUGAAGACGAUAAGCGAGCCGCCUGGGAAGUACGUCCGCAAGGAUGAAACUUAAAGGAAUNGGCGGGA
rnacentral:rRNA from 1 species